AACGAACGCUGGCGGCAUGCCUAACACAUGCAAGUCGAACGAGACCUUCGGGUCUAGUGGCGCACGGGUGCGUAACGCGUGGGAACCUGCCCUUAGGUUCGGAAUAACUCCCCGAAAGGGGUGCUAAUACCGGAUAAUGUCUUCGGACCAAAGAUUUAUCGCCUUUGGAUGGGCCCGCGUUGGAUUAGCUAGUUGGUAGGGUAAAAGCCUACCAAGGCGACGAUCCAUAGCUGGUCUGAGGGGAUGAUCAGCCACACUGGGACUGAGACACGGCCCAGACUCCUACGGGAGGCACCAGUGGGGAAUAUUGGACAAUGGGCGAAAGCCUGAUCCAGCAAUGCCGCGUGAGUGAUGAGGGCCUUAGGGUUGUAAAGCUCUUUUACCCGGGAUGAUAAUGACAGUACCGGGAGAAUAAGCUCCGGCUAACUCCGUG
rnacentral:rRNA from 1 species